rnacentral:rRNA from 1 species
CUUAUUGUGUGACGAUAAAUUGAACAUCCCCUUUGAAAACCUGGCACCGUCUUAAGUGACGGGUUAGGGUUUCUUGGAAUUUACUUUGAAAAAAUUAGAGUGUUUCAAGCAUGCGAUUCGCUGGAAUACAUUAGCAUGGAAUAAUAGAAGAUGACCUCUGAGAUCAUUUUGUUGGUACAUUGGCGGGAGGCAAUGAUUAACAGGGACAGUUGGGGGCAUUAGUAUUUAAUUGUCAGAGGUGAAAUUCAUUGAUUAAUUAAAGACUAACUUAUGCGAAAGCAUNUGCCAAGGAUGUUUUCAUUAAUCAAGAACGAAAGUUAGGGGAUCAAAGACGAUCAGAUACCGUCCUAGUCUUAACCAUAAACUAUACCGACUAGGGAUUGGCGAGGACCUUUAAUGCCUCGUUCAGCACCUUAUGAGAAAUCAAAGUCUUUGGGUUUCUGGGGGGAGUAUGGUCGCAAGGCUGAAACUUAAAGGAAUUGACGGAAGGGCACCACAAGGAGUGGAGCCCUGCGGCUCAAUUUGAUUCAACAC